UCGCGCAGCCGGGGAGUCAGCGGUGCCCUGUACCUGCAAUCCGCUACAGCAGGGGUGAUGUUCGGCCGAGGGUGGGGCGUGUUGCGCAGCCCCAUAUAAGUGAUGUUGACGUUUGGGUCUCACACAACAGGAACCCGUGAACCGUGUCAGGGUAGGAAUACAGCAGCACUAAGCGGUGCAUUCUGUGUGUUGUGAGGCAGCCUGGACC
rnacentral:SRP_RNA from 1 species